CAUAUUCAUUGUAUUUUAUAACAUUUUCUUUGAACUUUAUAUUAUUACAUUUAGACAUUAUUUAGUUGAUCUCUUCCUGCCCUUCAGUGAUACCAACAUUAAUAUUUUGGUGAAUAUGUUUGCAUUUGGCAAUCUGUGGAUUUCCAUGCACAAUUGAGAAACUGUUUCUUAUUGGUAGUAUUCCAGGUAACUACUGGAGAACUAAGAAACAAAUACUACAAUAAAAAAUUGUCAGAAAUAUUUGCAAGUUUCAGAUAACAAAUUUGAUAAAUCAGUUCUUAAUUUUUCAAAAUUUUCUCUAUUCUUUUAUAACAUUUAUAUGUUACAUCAGUUUGAUAGCAACAUUUAUAGUCUACAGCGACAAGUAUACAGUAUUCUUUUUGAUAGGCAAAUGAAUGAAUCCCCCAAAAUGUGUUAUUAACUCUUUGUUGGUUGGGUAUUUAAGUCACGUUGUUGAGAAUCAAUGAGAAUUAGCCUUCUGAGUAGAAGUAACAUUUUUAAAUACUUCUGAGAAACUAGUAAGUAACAAAUCUUAUAUCACUCUGGACAUCAUGAAACGGAAAGAGGUAUAAUCUGAGAAUAAUACUCAACUUCCUUAAUUUUCUUUUUCUGAAAUACUCUUUCUCAUUAAUUAUAAAUUUUCCAGUAUCUACAGCAUACAAAGUACAAAUCUUACCAUAAACAGCCACUUGUCAUGCAUUGUUCUUUGAAAUAAAUAAUUCAGUAAAGCAGAAGAUUUCACAAGGAAAAAAAAACACAAAAUGAAAUCUGGAAAUGUAUUACCACAUAACAUGGUCAAAAAGGAAUAGAAAUAAGUUUGUUUUAAUUUUGGCAAAUAGUACUUCAAACACUUAAUGCUUUUGUUACAUUAUUUUUUAAUGUAAUGUACAUGUUAGUGCUCUUUCAUUCCUAUACUUAAUAGCUGGGCAACCACAAAUACGUUGAAAGCUCACUUAAAGAUUGAGGUCUGAAAUAUUAAGAUUUCUGAAGAGAGGAGCUUUUCUGGGUGUAAUAUAAGCUAAUUUUGCCUGUCUGCUCUUUGCAGAGACCAGGUUUGGAUUAAUUCUUCUAGCGUAGUUGUUGAGAAGUGCCAAACUCCUUACUUUGUCUUCAAUGUACACUGGACAGACUGACAGUUUGUCUUUUCUCUUGGAGUGAUGAAAGUCUAAAUUGAAAAAGGUCAAAGGGAUGGAAAUACUAUACUGGUUUUGACAAAUGAGAAUUUGAGGCAGGUACAGGUAGUAACUUUUUUAGCUUUUAGAAGAAAUCUGCAAUAGAAAUAGGAAACUAUUCGCACUGAAUUCUGAAAUAUGGGAAUCUCUUCUAGAUUUGUGCAGCCAUCUUUAUUAUACUUGCUGCAUGAUAAAAUUAGUUCUUAAUUUACUGUGGUGACAUUUGAAUGGUGUUUGUCUUUAUGCUAUCUUUCAUAAGAGAAACCUAAAAGUGAGUUUUGUAAGUGCUAGACUGCUCAGCAUUUUAGUGAGAGACAGAAGUAGAUUUGGAAUCUUCUAUGGUGUCAGCUCAAAUUAUUUCUAUUACAACUCUGGUGAAUUCGCAGCAACUUCACCAGAAAAUGAGUUUGAGAAUUAUAUCUAUGUUCAUUGACUGGAAAAAUGUUUUUCCAAAGAAUUAUUAAAAACAAACUAAUGGACAGUAAAGGAAAGAAAGGGAAAGGAAAGGAAAAGGAAAGGGAAGGAAAGGAAAGGCAAAGGAAAGGAAAGGAAAACAUGGUCUUGAAAAUCUAGCAGCAGAAGCUUCACACCUUUGUGUAGAUUAAAAUCUUCAGAAGUUUCAAGCACCAUUCUUUAAGCCUAAGCAAAGUGAAUGAUGGAGCAGAUUGUUAUCAUGAAGUUGAGCAGAAGACCUGAAGAGGAUCUGAUGCCCUUCUGAACAAACAAUCUCAUAAUUGUGUGACAAGCAAGAAAUUCUAGGAAACAUGAUUCUAACUUUGUUAUUUCUUGAGCUGGAGAGGGAAGGACUCUGCUUUUACCUAAUAUAGUAUUCAUUAGAACAUUCAGCUUUGCGCUAUUGUUUAUAUGUAGCAUGGAUGAGUGCUUAUCUUGCUGCUUUCAGCCUCAAGGCCUGUUGAGGCUUCUUCCUAUCUAACCUUUCUAUAAUCCAUACUAGAAGUGGAAGAUAUGAUCUUUACAAUUUUGCAAGUACAUCUCAGUGAAACUUUGUUGUGUAGUAUAGGCUGUAAAGAGAAUGACAUCAAUAGCAAUCUGUGGAAAGCUUCCUCUGCUUCUCAGCUUUGAGUCUUAUUAUUUCUGUAUAACAAUCUAUUUCUGAGAAUAGAAAAAAAUAUUACAUAUCUUUUAUAAUCAAAUUCCUAUUGGCUUCAGCUGAAAACGGUGUUUUGUUAUUUUUUUCCUGAAGAUUUCUUCUCAAAUUUAUUAAGUUUAGGUAUCUGUUUCUUUUCUCCUAGGAAUUCUCAUGCCUACAGAGUCAACACAACUGUUUUCUCUUCAUCCUGUGUUUGGAAACUUCAUGUUCUAUUCCUAUUUUUAUUUCUGCUUUAUUCUAUUCAAUUUCUGAAGCUUGAUUUUAUAGAGAAUAAUAGAAUAUAGUAACAUUAUGCAGUAUAAGUUUCCAAAAUUGUACUGGGAGAGGAACAAGUAGAGAAAAUACUUUAGAUUCAAGAAUGAGGAAUAGGAGUUUUUUAUUGCUUUUCAAAAUAAUUUUGGUAUUGGAUGAAUUUUUCAUGCCAUUCUUUCAUACUGAUUGCAUACAACACAAAUAAGAAUUUGGGAAACACUUUUAAAAUAUUUAAGUGCUGCUUCCUAACAUGACAUGCAUUAAGUCUGAGAUUGAUAGUUCUAGAUAGAAGUGCUUAACCAUCUACAUGGAUUCUUACAAUGGGAAAGAAGAUAUUUGUUUAACAUUUUUUUUAAAGUUUAUCUUUUUUAAUAAAACAAAAUUUAUACAGAAACCAUGAUAUGUAAGGUUACUAUCCAGAGCUGUACUGGUAUUGUAGGCUAUUCAGAGAAUUUUGUGUUCUUCAUGGGAGGAACCAAAGAAAGGAAAUAAGAGCAACUGACUGUGGGCAUAAUUACUUAUUUGAUCACAUCAUCAUGUGAACAACUCAGUUAACUUCAAGAAUGCUAUCAGUUAGGAUGCAGUGUCAGUGUGCUUAAAUAUUUGCAUAAUUUUGUUCUAGAAUAAUGAACAAUCGUGGAAUUGUUUUUAUCAUGAGGAAAAAGAUGGAGAAAAGGACUGAAAUAGUUGAAGUUUUUAUGGGUGUCUAUGCAAAAUGUAGGAAAUAGUGGGAUUGGUACAAGUUUUUACGUAUAAGCCCUGCAGCGUAUAAGCAAUAUAUACUUUAUAAACAUGUAUUUGUACAGUUGCCCCACUGAGGUGAAUGAAUUUGUCUUGUGAAAAUACUGAAGGCCUAAAGAGAGUAAAGCCCCUACUCAUGUCAUUGAUACACCUGAUAAGUAUGCUACUCAGCAUACUUGUUUUUUAAUUUACUCAACCCUAAUAAAAAGUCCCAUCUGUUCUGUAAGGUCUAUGAGUCUUAGUGCCUACUACAUAAGUCAUCUUUCUGAAUGUCUCAUGAUUUUUAUUUUUAACUAUAAAAGAAGCUACAGCAAUAAAAUGAAAUAAAUGUGUUUUUGUGCUUCCUGCUUAUUCUCAUUGCCUAAAAGUACUCUUUAUAUCAUAAACAUGUGAUAAUUUCUCAUAUAAUUUUAAUAUAUUGCAAGAGUAAUCAGAUAAAGCACACACAUUGUUGUACAGCUCCAAAAUUCCCAUUGUUUUAAUUGUACAUAAAACAGACAAGAUGAAUGUCUCCUUAGCUUUUGCCAUUUUUCAGUCAUCAAUAUAGCCAAGAAAUAAAAUCUGUGUUGCAUUCCCAGUGCUUCUCCAGGGUGUUUUGGAUGUUUCUUUAGCCAUAUCCUCAUUUCCAGGAAGGUUAUCAUGUAUCUAGUGGUUGGCAUUCAGUGGUAACUAAAGAGGAACUCACUAACUCAUCCAAUAUGGAAACUUUCAGACUGCUCCCAAACUCUUCCUGAAGUGGAAAAGCUGGUUAAUUUAAUGCAUUUAAAAUCCCAUAAGGGGCCCAGGUACUUGCUUACCCCCACUACUGCCCUUGAAACGAUAGUGAUAUGCUUAACUAAAGGCCACCUAUGUUGCCAUAUAGUAAGGAGAGACAGAAAGAGGACACUGAUGUACAUUAAAGCCACUUAGAGCAGAUACAAUUUCCACCCUAAUGUCAGUGGAGCAGAGAAAGAUCUCUUCCAGAGCAGCAAAAGAACUUGCUAGAGCGCUGAGAGGCUACGUGACAAGGGAUUGAAGUGCUGGCAAUAUACAACAAAGAAGAGAAAGGCUCUUUCCUUUUAUCUUUUUUUCCCUAAAGCAGAAAUUUGAGUUUUCUCAUAUGCUAGUUAGAAAAAAAAUAGACAAUAAACCAGUGAUGCACUUAGUGUGGCAAUUCAAAAACUGUAAGAGCACAGUCUUAUGUUUCAAAAAUGCAUUUUUCAACUGGGUUUUUUCACUCCAGUUAUUUUUGAAAUGUGGACAGAGAUUUUUGUAUAAUUUAGGGCAGAUAAGACAUGUUUGCAGUGUUAAUGUGAGCUUGUGUGUAUGUUCUGUAUAUGCUCCUGUCUUUCCCAUCACACAUGGCUGUACUACGUGGAAUAAAUGCAAAAAUAAUUAUAUUUAUCUGAUACUUGGAAGAAUUUACAUUUUUCACCAGGCAAUUUUAUUUUCAACUAAAAUUUAUGUUUGCAUUUUUUAUAUGUAUGUUCUAGAAGAAACUGGAUUAUGAGAUCCUAGGUGAGGUUUUCUGAACGCUUUCUUGUAGCCUCUAGAGCUUUCAUUUUUGGAAGUAGGAUUUUCUCAGGUUUGAAUUCUGCCAAAAUUCAGGGCUUGCUUUGCAUUUUGUCUUCUAGGGAG
ensembl:lncRNA